rnacentral:rRNA from 1 species
CUACGGGUUGCUGCAGUAAGGAAUAUUGCACAAUGGGGGGAACCCUGAUGCAGCAACGCCGCGUGGAGGAUGACGCAUUUCGGUGUGUAAACUCCUUUUAUAUGUCAAGAAAAUGACGGUAGCAUAUGAAUAAGCACCGGCUAACUCCGUGCCAGCAGCCGCGGUAAUACGUAGGGUGCAAGCGUUACUCGGAAUCACUGGGCGUAAAGGACGCGUAGGCGGGUUGGAAAGUCAGGUGUGAAAUCCUACAGCUUAACUGUAGAACUGCACCUGAAACUUCUAAUCUAGAGUAUGGGAGGGGGAGAUGGAAUUAGUGGUGUAGGGGUAAAAUCCGUAGAUAUCACUAGGAAUACCUAAAGCGAAGGCGAUCUCCUGGAACAUUACUGACGCUAAGGCGUGAAAGCGUGGGGAGCAAACAGGAUUAGAUACCCGCGUAGUC